rnacentral:rRNA from 1 species
CAGCCGCCACGGUAAUACGUAGGUGGCAGGCGCUGUCCGGAACUAUUGGGCGUAAAGGGCUCGCAGGCGGUUUCUUAAGUCUGAUGUGAAAGCCCCCGGCUCAACCGGGGAGGGUCAUUGGAAACUGGGAAACUUAAGUGCAGAAGAGGAGAGUGGAAUUCCACGUGUAGCGGUGAAAUGCGUAGAGAUGUGGAGGAACACCAGUGGCGAAGGCGACUCUCUGGUCUGUAACUGACGCUGAGGAGCGAAAGCGUGGGGAGCAAACAGGAUUAGAUACCCCCGUAGUCCCUGUCUCUUAUAC